GUGUCAGCAGCCGCGGUAAGACGGAGGAGGCAAGCGUUAUCCGGAAUUAUUGGGCGUAAAGGGUCCGCAGGUGGCAGUUCAAGUCUGCAGUCAAAGGUCGGGGCUCAACCCCGGAAAGGCUGUGGAAACUGAACAGCUAGAGUACGGUAGGGGCAGAGGGAAUUCCCAGUGUAGCGGUGAAAUGCGUAGAGAUUGGGAAGAACACCGGUGGCGAAAGCGCUCUGCUAGGCCGAAACUGACACUGAGGGACGAAAGCUAGGGGAGCGAAAGGGAUUAGAUACCCCUGUAGUCCUAGCUGUAAACGAUGGAGACUAGGUGUGGCCUGUAUCGACCCGGGCCGUGCCGGAGCUAACGCGUUAAGUCUCCCGCCUGGGGAGUACGCACGCAAGUGUGAAACUCAAAUGAAUUGGCGGGG
rnacentral:rRNA from 1 species